UACGUAGGGCGCAAGCGUUUGUCCGGAAUUAUUGGGCGUAAAGAGCUCGUAGGCGGCUUGUCACGUCGGGUGUGAAAGCCCGGGGCUUAACCCCGGGUCUGCAUUCGAUACGGGCUAGCUAGAGUGCGGUAGGGGAGACUGGAAUUCCUGGUGUAGCGGUGAAAUGCGCAGAUAUCAGGAGGAACACCGGUGGCGAAGGCGGGUCUCUGGGCCGUAACUGACGCUGAGGAGCGAAAGCGUGGGGAGCGAACAGG
rnacentral:rRNA from 1 species